CCUACGCGGGGCCGCAGUGAGGAAUAUUGGUCAAUGGGCGAGAGCCUGAACCAGCCAAGUCGCGUGAGGGCGUACUGCCCUAUGGGUUGUAAACCUCUUUUGUCGGGGAGCAAAAGCCGGACGUGUCCGGCUGUGAGAGUCCCCGAAGAAAAAGCAUCGGCUCAAUCAGUACCAGCAGCCGCGGUAAUACGGAGGAUGCGAGCGUUAUUGGGAUUUGUGGGGUUUACAGGGUGCGCAGGCGGAUUUUUAAGUAAGCGGGAAAAGCGUGGGGCGCAACCCCAUCCAGCCGUUGAAACUGGGGAUCUAGAGUGUGCGAGAGGUAUGCGGAAUGCGUGGUGUAGCGGUGAAAUGCAUAGAUAUCACGCAGAACCCCGAUUGCGAAGGCAGCAUACCGGUGCACAACUGACGCUCAGGCACGAAAGCGUGGGUAUCGAACAGGAUCAGAUACCCCAGUAGUC
rnacentral:rRNA from 1 species